AUAUGAGCGCAAGCGGCGGGAUGGUUCUCUCUUUUACCGCCAUAAGAGCGGAGUCUUUUGCUUUGGGACCGCUUCACUGCGUAGAUCCACCUAGUCAAGCCGCCAGCUAAAGCAUCACUCGAGACUUGGCUAAGAUGGCAGACAUGGACAAUAAGGACCAGGCUGAGCUGGACCCGGCAGAUUUGGAGGACGUGGAGGACGUGGAAGAGGAGGAGACUGGAGAGGAUGUCAACAGCAAAGUGCCUGGCUUUGUCCGUCUCCCCUCAGCUCGUCAGCUCACCGUGCAGAUGAUGCAGAACCCACAGAUUCUGGCCGCGUUGCAGGAGAGGCUGGACGGCCUGGUGGGCUCGCCGUCAGGAUACAUGGAGAGCUUACCAAAGGUAGUGAAGAGACGGGUCAACGCCCUAAAGAACCUACAAGUGAAAUGCGCCCACAUUGAGGCCAAGUUCUACGAAGAGGUCCAUGAACUGGAGAGAAAGUACGCCGCUCUCUACCAACCCCUCUUCGACAAGCGAAGUGACAUAGUUAAAGCAGCCUAUGAGCCCACAGAGGAGGAGUGUGAGUGGAAGGCUGAUGAGGAGGAAGAGUUGACAGAGGAGAUGAAGGAGAAGGCCAAGGUGGAAGAGGAGAAGAAGGAUGAGGAGAAGGAGGACCCCAAAGGCGUUCCCGAGUUCUGGCUAACGGUUUUCAAGAACGUCGACCUGCUUAGCGACAUGGUGCAGGAACAUGAUGAACCCAUCCUCAAGCAAUUACAAGAUGUCAAAGUCAAAUUCUCGGACCCUGGCCAGCCCAUGAGCUUUUCUUUAGAAUUCAACUUUGAGCCCAAUGAGUUCUUCACAAACACUUUGUUGACAAAAACCUACAAGAUGAGGUCUGAGCCUGAUGAGAACGACCCCUUCUCCUUCGAUGGGCCUGAGAUCAUGGGCUGCACAGGUUGUACGAUCGACUGGACGAAGGGCAAGAACAUCACCCUGAAGACGAUCAAGAAGAAGCAGAAGCACAAGGGGCGUGGCACAGUCAGGACGGUCACCAAGACAGUCCCCAACGACUCUUUCUUCAACUUCUUCACCCCGCCUGAUGUCCCUGAAAGUGGAGAUAUGGACGAGGACACCGAGGCUGUCCUCGCCGCUGACUUUGAGAUCGGCCACUUCAUCCGCGAGCGUAUCGUCCCCAGGGCUGUGCUGUACUUCACGGGGGAGGCCAUCGAGGAUGACGAUGAUGAUUACGAUGAGGAGGGAGAGGAGGCUGAUGACGAGGAGGGUGAGGAGGAGGGAGAGGAGGAGAAUGACCCUGACUAUGACCCCAAGGUGGGUAGGAGAGCUUACUGUUGAUGUUGUCAUGACCUAAUGUGAGACCAACGAUCAGAAGUAUCAGAUUUCAACAUACAGAAUUGAAUGUGUACCGCUACUCCAAAUGCAUCAUGAACACCAGCCGCCAUGAUGGAUUUUUCUGUCUAUAUACUACUGCAUCCCACGUCGCCUCAGAACACACAGCCUUUGGAACCGUUUCCCUGUCCCCUUGCCUCUAGUGUAAGGGCUGGAUUUCCAGACACACAUUAAGCCUGGUCCUGGACUAUAAAGCAGUCUACAUUUGUGUUUUGGUACACCAAAGUACAUUUUAUUUCCAGUGGCACGCUGCAUUGGCCUUGCAGCACUGUUGCAGUGCUUUCUGUGUGGUGGAUACGUUGGAUUAAUGGAAUGUAUGUUAGAUGGCUUGACAGAACUGGUAGCAGAAGGUGAAUGUUGAACUUUUGUUACACAUCAAAAUGAUGCUGCAUAACAUUUUGCUCAAUGACGCUAUCGGUGUGAUUGAGGCGUUAGUCCAGGAUUCGUCUCAUUCUGUGUCCUGGAAACUUCUAGAAUGAGAGAUAGUAAAAGAGUGGUAUUUCGAAAUGGUCUCAAAAUAUCACUUUAAGAACUUAAUCAAAUACCCUUUUGUGAGCGUCUGAUCAUGGGGAAUGUUUUUCCCACGUUUCCUUUUCAACGGAAUGCCUUGAAAGCAUGAUUCUACUUGCUGUCUACAGCCUUGCUAAACUGAGACUGCAUGGAAAUUGGAAUCGGAUACUAAAUCUAUUCAGGUUUUGACUUUCAGUUUCAUAGCUCUGCAUGCCAAAGCUUUAUUUGAUUUUGUUUGGGUGAAUGGGAACAGUACUUCUCUUUGCUGUAUAAAGCCUCUAGAAUUCUGUAUUCUGCCUAUUUUUUGCCUUUAAUUCAUUAAUGUUCAUCUCCAAUCACUUGGCACCUUUUGUCAGCUAUACUCUUUAAAUUUUUCCUCACUAGGUUUAAGUGAUGUCUGUAGAAAAUAACCCUCUCCUGAAGGACGCAAAUCCCCCAGCCGAGUGCAAGCAGCAGUGAAGGCUGUGGCUUUGAGGAUCAACUGCACUGUAACAGCUUCUCAAAUAAAACACUUACUUACGCCUUAUAAUGUUUUGUAUUUUUCUUGGUAGAAAUAAAAAAUAAAGGGUUUCAAGAUUUUUGUUACAAAAACCUCCUAAUAUAAUGUGAGCAGUGGCUCGAUAUGCAUAGUAUUUUACUAGACCCCCACCCCCCCCUGUACAAAUAGUUAGAAUGCCACAAACUCCCUGAAAGCAUGAUCUUGUUUCUCUCACUGCUAAACUAGUUUGGGUUCUUGUGAAGUUUUUGUUGUAUUGCUCUUGGACAACAGCUGUGGUUAGACUGCAUUGAGGCAGGUGAUGAGAAAGUCAACCUAUUCCUUUUCCCUCGCGUUACCGGUCCGUUCAGGUUGUGGGUUGGAAUUCGUUGUCAUUGUAUUAGUGGGCUGGGCCUCGAGCACGGUCAGAGCAAAACACUGCAUUUAGUCAUGGCUAAUGAAAAACUUAAUCGCUGUGCACAUUCGGUCACUCAAGCAUGCCAUUUAGAGCAGGGAAAGUGGUUAUUGGCCACUUGUUUGGGCUGAAUCAAGUUGUCAAUCUAAAACAUUCCAGUUUGCAGACUGACAGGCAUUGGUUGUUUUGAAUGCUCUCUUGGGAUGAAUAUUACCUCGACUACAUGGUCUGAUUUGUUAAAGAAACAGCACCAUGUGUUAGCUGCUAAAUUUAAUGAUCCGAGUCUGCAACGUAUUGGUUUCUAUAAAAUACUGUUCUUUCUGAAUUUUAAUUUGCGUUAAGGGAAUGUUUUUCCUCCACCACGCAGCUUGGUCUUGUCCAGUCCUUAACAUUCCAGAUGAUUUGACGAGGGACAGUUCCAAGGUUUCGCCAGCAGGGGGCAUCCCAUGCCCAAUCUGCUUCAGGCUCUUGUUAGGCCUACAGUUUACUCGUCUUUUUCUAUAGCACUUUGUACUACUUAGUCAUGUAUCAGUGGUGUCCUCUAUGGUUGGCUGUCGGUCCAGUAGCCCUUGUGCAAAUCGAAGUGAGCAGUACUUUGGAGGUGGCCGUGUCAUACAGCGCCCUGACGAUGCCCUAUGGGCUUUCUCCUGCGCCAUGAAACAUUUCCCUGUAAUACAUGAUUCUCCCAAGUGCAUUACUCUUUAAUUUGGGAAUCCCACUUUACUUGUGUACUCUGAUAGCAAUAGGUUCGCAACGGGUUCCCUUCGGAGGAAGAAAACAACCAAAUUCAGGCUUAUGUUGGCAUGUGGUUGUGGCUUUUGAGCCCUGUAACUCUCGAGGUUAAGCUCGUGCCGGUCUGGUCCCUGAGCAUACGGCUAAUUUAUCACUGUGAAGGAAAGGUGGCAAUGAGUUCUGGUAGAAGUCCUGUCUUGACUGCCCUCUGUAGCCAACCCCACCCAGCAGGUCACACUGAAGCAUGUAAGAGCAAUACUUAGUCAGGGAAUGGAAAUAAAAGGAAGUAGCUUAAGCCCACCCACCUUGUCCUUUAGUGGAAACAGUCAUGUCGGUGUAUGUUGGGUGGUGGCGCCCUCGCUGCUGCCUCUAGUGGAGCUCUAGAGAGUACUGCUGCAGUCAGUAGGAGAUUACGUCUGGACUGUUCUAGGGACGACUGGAUUCUGUCUGACUCCUUGAGCAGCUGUUGUCAAAGCUAAAUGCUAUGCUACAAAUACUAAAUGUACUCAAUAACUGUAUGUAUAUUCAUGAAUAAAUUGGUUAAACGUG